UUGGAGAAACUUACCAGAGAUGAGAAACAACCAAUUGUCUGCAUUCUCUGUUAUGUGGUUGAAGAAAGAAUAGUGUUUUGAGAGUAGCUACUUUGAACUAGCUACUUGCUAUUAUUUUAUGAGAAUAGGGCUUAUGGCCUACACCAUCAUCAUGAGUGCCCCAUCAGAUGUCCCUGAUGGAAAUUGUUGACUCUUGAGACACAACACAGCUGUAGACAGCAUGCCUUUGAACCAGAAAAUAUUUGAGGACCUCUAGCCACUCUGGGGAAUGUGGUCUACUUCACAGUGUACAUGACUCAAGUGAGCAACUCAUCUGGAAACACCAUUAUGGAAGCAGCAAGCAGCAGCACUUAUCUGAGCAUCUUGAUUCCACAAGGUUUCAUCAAGCCGACACAGAAAAUUCACCAUGACAGAAGGCUGCCUGGAGGAAUGCAUCAGGGAGAGCGGCUUAGAGGUUAUCCUACUGCUGUAAUAGGACAUCAUGACCAACACGGAGAGUGUCUUAGAGGUUAUCCUAUUGCUGUAAUAGGACAUCAUGACCAAAAUGGAGAGUGUUUUAGAGGCUAUCCUAUUGCUGUAAUAGGACAUCAUGACCAAAAUGGAGAGUGUCUUAGAGGCUAUCCUAUUGCUGUAACAGGACACCACGACCUAGGCAGCUUACAGAAGAAUUAGUAUUUGAGGUUUAUAGUUUCAGAUGUUUAGAGUACAUGCCCAUCAUAGUGGGGAGCAUGACAGCACACAGGCAGGCAGGCAGGCAGGCAUGGCACUGAGGCAGUAGCCAAGGGAUCACAUCUCCAUCCCUAAUCAGGAGGCAAAGAGAGAUAACUGGGAGUAUUGUGGGACUUAGUGAAACAGCCCCUUCAACAAGACUACACAUUCUAAUCUUUUAGUUCCAUCUGUGGGGCCAAGUAUUCAAACAUGUAAGCUCAUGAAGGUGACUCAUAUUCAAGCCACCACAGAUGCACAGUUCAGCACAUACUCAAGGGCUCCUCUCCAAUACCAGACUGAAGGCUUUGCUUUAUGAGGAUCUAUGCCACACUCUGAAGGAAAGGUGGAUGGCCCAGUGGACAAGCAAGUUACAAUGUCACAUACAUGCAGACGGCACUUCAAGGGGACAUCCUUCUGUUUUUCAAAUUAUUUUAAACUCUGACAUUCAUGCAUGAAUACAGUACAUUUUUAACUUAACACCCCAUUUUCCCCUUUGCACUUUUGAUUAUCUUGCUGUAUCUCUUUUUCUUUCUCCCAAAGUCCCCUUCCCACUUUUGUUUUGUGUGACCCACUGAAUUUAAUUAGUAUUAAUAGCUCAAGUAUGACUACGGUGUCAUAUUUAUUGAAUAUUUAUUGAAGAAUUGCACAAAUCAGUAGUGACACCACUUAAGAAAGCAACAAUGGCUCCCCCAGCAAUUAUUAAUUGCCAGUAGUCCCUCGGGGAGUGAUAGAGACCCAUGGGCUUCUUUCAAAGAGGCCAUGAUUCUUGUCUCUUUUCUAAAAAUUCUAGGACUAUCAGGUAAGAAGAAUCCUUAGAGAUAGCCAAGCUUUUAUAUCCAGAUCUAGCCAUCCUCCCCACAAAUUGUGAUUUGGCUGAGAGCUUCCUGAACUGUGGUUGGUCAUCAGCAUCUUCUUACAUGUUCCAGGCUAGCAUGGUACGUGGAUCACUUUGAGACUCCAACUACAUAUUAAACAUCUCCCACAAUCCAGAGCAUGCCAACCUCUAUUAUGGAUUUUUCAAAUAAAUGUUUUAUUCACUA